rnacentral:rRNA from 1 species
UUUGGAGGGCAAAUCUGGUGCCAGCAGCCGCGGUAAUUCCAGCUCCAAUAGCGUAUAUUAAAGUUGUUGCAGUUAAAAAGCUCGUAGUUGAAUUUCGGGAUCAAAUUCUGGGCCGUGCCUCGGUACGUACUGGUGUUACUGGUUCCUACCUUCUGAAGAACCGCGAUGUCAUUAAUUUGGUGUCGCGGGAAU